GGACCCGCACAAGCAGCGGAGCAUGUGGUUUAAUUCGAAGCAACGCGAAGAACCUUACCUAGACUUGACAUCUCCUGAAUUACUCGUAACUGAGGAAAUCCCUUCGGGGACAGGAAGACAGGUGGUGCAUGGUUGUCGUCAGCUCGUGUCGUGAGAUGUUGGGUUAAGUCCCGCAACGAGCGCAACCCUUAUCAUUAGUUGCUAACAUUAAGUUGAGCACUCUAGUGAGACUGCCUGGGUUAACCAGGAGGAAGGUGGGGAUGACGUCAAAUCAUCAUGCCCCUUAUGUCUAGGGCCACACACGUGCUACAAUGGUGGGGACAGAAAGAUGCGAAACCGCAAGGUUGAGCCAAACUCAAAACCCCAUCCCAGUUCGGAUUGUAGGCUGAAACUCGCCUACAUGAAGCCGGAGUUGCUAGUAAUCGCGAAUCAGAAUGUCGCGGUGAAUACGUUCCCGGGUCUU
rnacentral:rRNA from 1 species